GACGAACGCUGACGGUGUGCUUUAGGCAUGCAAGUCGAAACGAGAAAGCCCUUCGGGUGAGUAGAGUGGCGAACGGGUGAGUAACACGUGGAUAACCUGCCCUUUGCAGGGGGACAACCGGAGGAAACUCCGGCUAAUACCCCGUACGCUUGCUGGGUCGCAUGGCCCGGCAAGGAAAGGUAGCUUCGGCCAUCCGGCAAAGGAGGGGUCCGCGUCCCAUUAGCUAGUUGGUGAGGUAGAGGCUCACCAAGGUUACGAUGGGUAGCUGGUCUGAGAGGAUGAUCAGCCACACUGGGACUGAGACACGGCCCAGACUCCUACGGGAGGCAGCAGCCAGGAAUCUUGCACAAUGGGCGAAAGCCUGAUGCAGCAACACCGUGUGGGCGAAGGAAGGCC
rnacentral:rRNA from 1 species